rnacentral:rRNA from 1 species
GUCCUAGCCGUAAACGAUGCACAUUAGACGUGAGGGGUAUCGACCCCCUUCGUGUCGAAGCAAACGCAUUAAAUGUGCCGCCUGGGGAGUACGGCCGCAAGGUUGAAACUCAAAGGAAUUGACGGGGGCCCCGCACAAGCGGUGGAGCAUGUGGUUUAAUUCGACGCAACGCGAAGAACCUUACCUGGGCUUGAACUACUAGUAGUAAGAGUGAUGAAAGUCACGAUGAACCGUAAAGCCGGUUGCUAGCAGAGGUGCUGCAUGGCUGUCGU